GAAAUGCGAUACGUAGUGUGAAUUGCAGAAUUCAGUGAAUCAUCGAAUCUUUGAACGCACAUUGCGCCCUUUGGUAUUCCAAAGGGCAUGCCUGUUCGAGCGUCAUUUGUACCCUCAAGCUUUGCUUGGUGUUGGGCGUUUUUUGUCUUGGGCCCCCCCAAGACUCGCCUUAAAACGAUUGGCAGCCGGCCUACUGGUUCCGCAGCGCAGCACAUUUUUGCGCUUGCAACCAGCCAAAGAGGACGGCAAUCCAUCAAGACUCCUUCUCACGUUUGACCUCGGAUCAGGUAGGGAUACCCGCUGAACUUAAGC
rnacentral:misc_RNA from 1 species